UACGUAGGGUGCAAGCGUUAUUCGGAAUUAUUGGGCGUAAAGGGCGCGUAGGCGGCCUGGCAAGUGGAAGGUGAAAUCCCUCGGCUUAACCGAGGAACUGCCCUCCAAACUGCUUGGCUUGAGUCCGGGAGAGGUGAGUGGAAUUCCCAGUGUAGCGGUGAAAUGCGUAGAUAUUGGGAGGAACAUCUGUGGCGAAGGCGGCCAUCUGGACCAGCACUGACACUGAGGCACGAAAGCGUGGGGAGCAAACAGG
rnacentral:rRNA from 1 species